UCAUUAACACCGAGAGGUAAUGAGGAGAGUGCUUGCACUCGUGAACUCAGUAAUCCCACGCUUCCAAGAAAAGCUCCGACGGAGUUAACUACUUUGUCGUCCGUACUACAAACCGACUCAGGUGGGCGGGGAGAAUAUCCCAAGGCGUUUGAGAGAAGCCUCUCUAAGGAACUCGCAAAAUGGCACCGUAACUUCGGGAGAAGGUGCGCCCUCGGUAGGUAACUGAACUUGCUUCAGAAGCCCAGGAGGGUUGCAGAGAAACGGGGGUAGCGACUGUUUACCAAAAACACAGCACUCUGCUAAGACGCAAGUCGACGUAUAGGGUGUGAUGCCUGCCCGGUGCUGGAAGGUUAAGGGGAGAUGUCAGUCGCAAGACAAAGCGUCGAACCGAAGCCCCAGUAAACGGCGGCCGUAACAAUAACGGUCCUAAGGUAGCGAAAUUCCUUGUCGGGUAAGUUCCGACCUGCACGAAUGGCAUAACGACUUCCCCACUGUCUCGGAGAGGCCCUCAGCGAAGUAGCACUAGGGGUGAAGAUACCCUUUACGCGCGCAGGACGGAAAGACCCCGUGCACCUUUACUGCAACUUGACACUGAUUUUCGGUUUGGAUUGCGUAGGAUAGGUGGGAGGCUUUGAAGCCGGGACUCUGGUCUCGGUGGAGCCACCCUUGAAAUACCACCCUGUUCAAUCUGGAAAUCUAACCUUCUUCCGUUAACCGGAAGGGAGACAAUGUCUGGUGGGCAGUUUGACUGGGGCGGUCGCCUCCCAAAUUGUAACGGAGGCGCGCGAAGGUUCCCUCAGCCUGAUUGGAAACCAGGCGCAGAGUGUAAUGGCACAAGGGAGCUUGACUGCGACACCGACGAGUGGAGCAGGUACGAAAGUAGGUCAUAGUGAUCCGGUGGUCCCGUAUGGAAGGGCCAUCGCUCAACGGAUAAAAGGUACGCCGGGGAUAACAGGCUUAUCACGCCCAAGAGUUCACAUCGACGGCGUGGUUUGGCACCUCGAUGUCGACUCAUCGCAUCCUGGGGCUGAAGUCGGUCCCAAGGGUUUGGCUGUUCGCCAAUUAAAGCGGUACGCGAGCUGGGUUCAAAACGUCGUGAGACAGUUUGGUCCCUAUCCGCCGUGCGCGCAGGAGACUUGAGAGCAUCUGUCCUUAGUACGAGAGGACCGGGAUGGACAGACCGCUAGUGUUCGGGUUGUGGCGCCAGCUGCAUCGCCCGGUAGCUAUGUCUGGAAGGGAUAACCGCUGAAAGCAUCUAAGCGGGAAGCCCAGCUCAAGAUGAGGUCUCCCCAGGCCGUAAGGCCUCUGAAGGUCCCAUGUAGACCACGUGGUAAUAGGCCAGGUGUAGAAGCACAGUAAUGUGUGGAGCUAACUGGUACUAAUCGACCGAGAGGCUUGGCCAU
rnacentral:rRNA from 1 species